GGACUUACCUGGCAGGGAAGACACCCAUGGGUGCUUUCCUAGGGCGAGGCUCAUCCAUUGCCCUGAGGAUCUGCUGACCUCUGCGAUUUCCCUACAGGGGGAACAAAGGGCAAAACGUGUGUUGGUGGACUGUCGGGGUCGCGCUUUCCCU
ensembl:snRNA U1 U1 spliceosomal RNA